CCGGCUUCUCCUCGGUGUCGCCGUCCGAGGACAAGGCCUCCGUCACCCCCGUGGUGCUCAACGUCUACGACCUCACCCCCUUGAACAACUACCUGCGCUGGCUCGGCCUCGGCAUCUUCCACUCCGGCAUCGAAGGAAGAAGAUCAUGAUGCCCCCAGGGUUAUGAUGCAGCGGAAGGGCAUCAAGUUGUCACCCAAGCACUCGUCGUUCGAUCCUCAACUACGGUGCAUUUGCAGGGAUUUUUCCUCUAAAUGUGACACGCAACUAUGGAAUGCUGGGUUUCUGAGCCGUCCACUCCAAGUGCUUCCCGAUUUACCCUAGCAGCCAAUGGAAAACUUUCUUGAGGUCAGACCGAUCACCCUAGGUUUGAUGUUACCUGGUUCAAUACAUAUUUUUUUUAAGGAAGAAGAUCACGAUGAAAUAGAUUAGCAAUGCAAGCAAUGGUAGAUACUAGAUAAAGAAAAUAGUGAGAGUUUUGUCCACUUCCAUAUAAGAGCUUAGAACAUGAAAUAGAAGUAUUGUUGGACAACAAAUGCAGAAAAUUUAAGAUUUUUUGUUUUCAAAAAAUGGAUACUUAAUGUGAAAAAGAUCAAUACCAUUUUAAUGCAACAUCUAUUCACUAUUAACACCGAUGACAAUGUUUUGGGUAUAAAUUGAUCAAAUGACAUGAUUUGAAAGAUACGUGGUUCUAAAUAGGAGAGAUGAUUUUUUUUCUUAAUUUUAAGUUAUUUGGUAAAAUUAACAAAAUAUUUGUAAUAAACAAAUAUGUUGGAAAUUAUAGGCUCAUUGUAGAGCAUGUUACUAUGGUUAUUUGUCUCCAUCAAGAUGACACUGGCUGCUAAUUCAUUAUGCUAUAAUUUUAGCUAAGAAAUGAGGCAUAACCUACUAGUUUUUAUAGGAAAUGCAUUCAAUGAAUUGUGCAGUCAAUGAGCUUCCUGAAGAGUAUCUAGGCACAAGAGAUGUCUUUAACCAAAACAAUCAAGAGCUUUGUGAUGAUAAUCAUUGUAUUAAGUCAAUAAGAUCUGUGAAGUGGGCAGUUGCCACUUGAGAUGUUAGUGUUAUUAGUUAUGGGCUGUAUCGAUGCAAUCCACUUAAAUCUCUUCAUGAAAGAUUUCGAGGCGCCACAGUCUCUCCCUGAUAUUCUACCUUCUACUGAUAGGAUUUUUACUUGAGUAAUUCUCAUAAAAAGAGAGUUCUAUAUACAUAGCUCUUACAAGUUUGCAGGAUUGCUCUAACACCCAAGAUUUUGAACUAGUCUGCCUUUCAUCAUCUACUAAUCAGAUUUCAUUGCUAUUAUCAUGACAGUCCAUGUCCUUAGCCAAAAACAUGAAAAAACAUUGGAGUUCAUUAUCAUUCAUAUAAUGAAACAAUAUGGCCACUACAGAGUUAAGUGAUCUUAUGGAUAGUCUAAUGAAGUUAUUUUAUUCAACUAGACAUGCUUGACUUUCAAACUAUGAGUGCUUAAUGUAAUUGUCUCCAGCGUUUGGACAGAACUUUUGGAGAAGAUUUAUUUUAUGUAAAAUAUGAUGGCAAGUGCUUGAAGAUUCUACUUUUUAAGUUCUCCUUCAAAUUGGUUGUCAGUCAAAAGAAUGAUUGACACAAGAUUAUUUUUAAUUUUUUCCUUUUAACCUGAAACUCUAAUUACAAUUCCAUAAUUUAAACAAAACCAACACACAACCUUAGCAGUUUUUAGUUAAAGAGUAAUGAUAGUAGCUCAAGUUGUCGAGUUCUGUUUUAAGAAAGGCUCUCAAUAGGGACAAUGAACGAAUAGGUGGAUAGGUGGUGCCCACUGAUAAUUUUAUAAGUUUAAGGGUACUACACUCUAAUUCUUAUGUAGUAACCAAACAAAUGCUUUACUCGUUACAUAAGAUGGCUUUUAGUACUACACUAAAAGUGGCUGCUUUUCGACCAAUUUGGGAUUGAUUGUCUUGACUCUUAAUAGUUUCUUUAAUUUGGGAGUUAACUCAGGAGAUUCUUCACACGAGUAAGUGAUAGGUGACACCAUCACUAGUAUUUCCAGAUGAAUCCAACAAGAUCAGAUGUGAGGAUGCAUAUGGAUCAUGCAUAUGUUCAUUCUUUUUAACAAGAUUUGAUGGUGGUUCUGUAAUUAUAUUUCAGUAAAUAUAAAGUGUGGAAGGAAUUUUUCUUAAUGUAUUAGUAUCAGAUUUAGUGUAUACUAUUUUCUAUCUGAUUGAAUUAUCGAUAACUCCAAAUGUUGUCGUUGCAACAAACCCGAUAAUGAUUAAUAUCAACUUCUCUCAUCAUCAUAGUGAUGAUCAGAUGUGUCCUUCCUAGCUUGUUAUUUCCUAGUGAAGGGAGGAUAAAUAGCCAUUCAGAAAUAAGAUCAAUCAGUUGAUCGUUAAUAGUUGGUCAUUGUUUCAUGACUUGUAAAAAAUAUACAAUCCGUCAAAUGCUUAUUCGUUGUAAUAUAUGUU